rnacentral:rRNA from 1 species
UACUGGGCGUAAAGCGUGCGCAGGCGGUUUUGUAAGACUGUCGUGAAAUCCCCGGGCUUAACCUGGGAAUGGCGAUGGUGACUGCAAGGCUAGAGUUUGGCAGAGGGGGGUAGAAUUCCACGUGUAGCAGUGAAAUGCGUAGAUAUGUGGAGGAACACCGAUGGCGAAGGCAGCCCCCUGGGUCAAAACUGACGCUCAUGCACGAAAGCGUGGGGAGCAAACAGGAUUAGAUACCCUGGUAGUCAAGGGCG